UACGGAGGGGGCUAGCGUUAUUCGGAAUUACUGGGCGUAAAGCGCGCGUAGGCGGUUUUCCAAGUUGGAGGUGAAAUCCCGGAGCUUAACUCCGGAACUGCCUUCAAAACUGGAUGACUAGAGGUCGAGAGAGGUAAGGGGAAUUCCUAGUGUAGAGGUGAAAUGCGUAGAUAUGCGGAGGAACACCAGUGGCGAAGGCGGCUCACUGGCUCGAUACUGACGCUGAGGUGCGAAAGCGUGGGGAGCAAACAGG
rnacentral:rRNA from 1 species